AGCGAACGCUGGCGGCAUGCUUAACACAUGCAAGUCGCACGGGCAGUAGCAAUACUGUCAGUGGCGGACGGGUGAGUAACGCGUAGGAAUCUAUCCUUGGAAUGGGGGACAAACCGUGGGAAAACUACGGCUAAUACCGCAUGAUGCCUGAGGGCCAAAGACGAAAGUCGUUUGAGGAGGAGCCUGCGUCUGAUUAGGUAGUUGGUGGGGUAAAGGCCUACCAAGCCCUACGAUCAGUAGCUGGUCUGAGAGGAUGAUCAGCCACAUUGGGACUGAGACACGGCCCAAACUCCUACGGGAGGCAGCAGUGGGGAAUAUUGGACAAUGGGCGCAAGCCUGAUCCAGCAAUGCCGCGUGGGUGAAGAAGGUCUUCGGAUUGUAAAGCCCUUUUGGCGGGGACGAUGAUGACGGUACCCGCAGAAUAAGCUCCGGCUAACUUCGUG
rnacentral:rRNA from 1 species